rnacentral:rRNA from 1 species
UACGUAGGUGGCAAGCGUUGUCCGGAUUUACUGGGCGUAAAGCGCGUGCAGGCGGUUCGUUAAGUUCAGGGUGAAAUCCCUCGGCUCAACCCUGGGGACGCCACCCGAUACUGCUAUAGCUAGAGUCCAGUAGGGGAGUGUGGAAUUCCCAGUGUAGCGGUGAAAUGCGCAGAUAUUGGGAGAACACCAGCGGCGAAGGCGGCACUCUGGGCUGGUACGUGGACGCUGAGGAGCGAAAGCGUGGGUAGGCGAACAGG